rnacentral:rRNA from 1 species
ACGAACGCUGGCGGCGUGCUUAACCCAUGCAAGUCCAACGGAAAGGCCCUGCUUUUGUGGGGUGCUCGAGUGGCGAACGGGUGAGUAACACGUGAGUAACCUGCCCUUGACUUUGGGAUAACUUCAGGAAACUGGGGCUAAUACCGGAUAGGAGCUCCUGCUGCAUGGUGGGGGUUGGAAAGUUUCGGCGGUUGGGGAUGGACUCGCGGCUUAUCAGCUUGUUGGUGGGGUAGUGGCUUACCAAGGCUUUGACGGGUAGCCGGCCUGAGAGGGUGACCGGCCACAUUGGGACUGAGAUACGGCCCAGACUCCUACGGGAGGCAGCAGUGGGGAAUAUUGCACAAUGGGCGGAAGCCUGAUGCAGCAACGCCGCGUGCGGGAUGACGGCCUUCGGGUUGUAAACCGCUUUCGCCUGUGACGAAGCGUGAGUGACGGUAAUGGGUAAAGAAGCACCGGCUAACUACGUG